UAUGGCCAUAUCAUGUAGAAACACUAGUUCUCAUACGAUCACUGAAGUUAAGCAACAUUGAGUCCAGUCUGUACCUAAAUGAGUGGCUGCUUGGGAAUACCAGGUUCUGUAAG